rnacentral:rRNA from 1 species
UACGUAGGGGGCUAGCGUUAUCCGGAAUUACUGGGCGUAAAGGGUGCGUAGGUGGUUUCUUAAGUCAGAGGUGAAGGGCUACGGCUCAACCGUAGUAAGCCUUUGAAACUGGGAAACUUGAGUGCAGGAGAGGAGAGUGGAAUUCCUAGUGUAGCGGCGAAAUGCGUAGAUAUUAGGAGGAACACCAGUUGCGAAGGCGGCUCUCUGGACUGUAACUGACACUGAGGCACGAAAGCGUGGGGAGCAAACAGGAUUAGAUACCCUGGUAGUCCCUGAG